AAUGUCCUUGAUGAUUACAUAUGAACUUUGUUGAGUUUAACGACCAUGAGAAAACUCACAUGCACUACCAUCUGAGACAAA